rnacentral:ribozyme from 1 species
UGAAAAUGUAAAAGCGAUGGUUAGUGUUGAUCUGCGUUGAAAGAACAGGCCAACUAUUUUGAUUUGAAAGGAACACGAACUCUUCUUCUUUUUCUUUUUCUUUUCCUUGUACUCUUUCUUCGUUCGCAUAGCU